rnacentral:rRNA from 1 species
GAAUUUUAUAUAAGUUUAUUAGAAAAAUUUAGUUUGGAAGUUAUUAAAUUUAUAUUUUAUUGGGAGGAUAGUUAAAUUAAAAAAACUUUAAAUAUUAAAAUCCAUUAAUUUAUGAAUUAAAAAAUAAAGAAUGAUUGAAUAGGUUAAAAUAGAAUUAAUUACCUUAGGGAUAACAGCGUUAUAUUUUUAGAGAGAUCAUAUUAAUAAAAAUGUUUGC